CUCUGCGCGCAGGCGCAGCAGGGAUCGGCGGACGGGGGCUUCCCUGCUUGAAGCGCCGGUGGCGUACCUCAGCUUUGGGUCGGAAGAGGCCUGAAGGAGAGUCAUUGAAGUCCAGUGGCAAGAUGAAAGUGGCAGUGGCCCAGGAUGCAGUGGAUAACCUUGGCAUCUUCAAUGUCUGACCAACCUCUAAGCACCCCACCAGCUUGGGCUGUUGGAACAAAUUAUCCUUAUCUGCCCAUUCCACCGGGUAAAGUCUUCACAUGCCAUGGGAUAGAUGUCCCCCUGACCCUUGAAGGUAUCUGAGGCCUGUCAGUCACCCUCAACCUUGUUUAGCAGGUCUGUCAACUGUUUACUGGGGAGUGGCUGCUGUGCAGGCUAUAGCUUCUUGGAGCCACAGAUAAUGAAGCUGAAGCCCUUUGGAGAAUGGUGGAAUGGUGUCUUGGCUGCUCUCCUACUGGACUUCAUCAGCCACUCCAUCCCCUGGCAUCUCAAACUAUAGAGCACCAGGAAUAAUCCACAUCAGGUAUAUGACCAGGGGAGGACAUUGAUGCUAUCAAGAGGUUUAGAUUAAAGUCAUAGGAUUAGAGCUAGAAAGGACCUUUGAGAGGUCCUCACUUAACUGGUGGAAAAGCUGAGGCCAAGAGAUAUGAAAUGACCUGCCCAAUGUCAUACAUUAUUCCGAUUCAAACCGAGGCCCUCUGACUCCAAAAUCUGCUAUAUUAUAAUGCCUCCAUAGCCAGUAGCAUUGAUUCUGACUAAGCUGACCAAAUCUACUUCAUUGAUCAGGAGCCUUCUGAUAUCAGAAAUGUUCAUAACUAUGAGAUCUUUUGCUAACAGGAUGCUAGCUUUCUUUUAAAUAGGUAAAAUUAUCUCAGUUUUGUAAAUGAAAACAAAGUUGUGACUUGUCCAAGGUCACAUUCAUCAAGUCAGAGGUUCUUAACUAGGACUUCACAAAAUGCCAAGAAGUCUGAAGAUUUCAGAAAGUCUAUGAACUUAGAUGGGAAAAUAAUUACAUCUUUACUUUUGCAAAUCUCUUACUGACAUUUAGCAUUUCCUAAAGUUAUUUCUUCCUAAAGAAUUUUUUUAAAAAAUUCUGAGGUGGGGACCAUGCCACAAAAAAAGUAAGAACACCUAUAGUAAGUGGCAAAGGAAGGACAAGAACCCACAUCUCUCCCUCAUGUAGUGUUCUUUUCAUUUCACCAUAUUGAAUUAUAAAUAGUAUAGUUAGUGAUCUUAGCCCAGUCCCAUUC